rnacentral:rRNA from 1 species
GAGAGUUGAUCAUGGCUCAGGAUGAACGCUGGCGGCGUGCUUAACACAUGCAAGUCGAACGAAGCUCCUGCGUGGAACCCUCGGGGAGAAGCAAAGGAAGACUGAGUGGCGGACGGGUGAGUAACGCGUGGGUAACCUGCCCCAUGCAGGGGGACAACGGCUGGAAACGGCCGCUAAUACCGCAUAAGCGCACGAUAGGGCAUCCUAACGUGUGAAAAGUUCCGGCGGCAUGGGAUGGACCCGCGUCUGAUUAGCUAGUUGGCGGGGCAACGGCCCACCAAGGCGACGAUCAGUAGCCGACCUGAGAGGGUGACCGGCCACAUUGGGACUGAGACACGGCCCAAACUCCUACGGGAGGCAGCAGUGGGGAAUAUUGCACAAUGGGCGAAAGCCUGAUGCAGCGAACCGCCGCGUGAGCGAUGAAGUGCCUAGGCAUGUAAAGCUCUAUCAGCAGGGAAGAAAAAUGACGGUACCUGACUAAGAAGCCCCGGCUAAAUACGUGCCAGCAGCGGC